GUAGGUGGCAAGCGUUGUCCGGAAUUAUUGGGCGUAAAGCGCGCGCAGGCGGUCCUCUAAGUCUGAUGUGAAAGCCCACGGCUCAACCGUGGAGGGUCAUUGGAAACUGGGGGACUUGAGUACAGAAGAGGAAAGCGGAAUUCCAAGUGUAGCGGUGAAAUGCGUAGAGAUUUGGAGGAACACCAGUGGCGAAGGCGGCUUUCUGGUCUGUAACUGACGCUGAGGCGCGAAAGCGUGGGGAGCAAACAGGGAUUAGAUACCCUGGUAGUCCACGCCGUAAACGAUGAGUGCUAAGUGUUAGGGGGUUUCCGCCCCCUUAGUGCUGCAGCUAACGCAUUAAGCACUCCGCCUGGGGAGUACGGCCGCAAGGCUG
rnacentral:rRNA from 1 species